AAGAAUUAAAUGGAUGAAAUAUGAAGUUUUAUUAAAAGAAAAAGGGAUGAAAAGAACAAAGUUUUGUCCAUCUUUGUUCAUCAUAGCUGAAAUUUAGAGAAGAGAAAGGAGAGGAGAAAGCUCCUGAGUAUUCGGUCAUUAGGAGGAGGAAAAUUGAAGGCGGUUCGUGUGUAGAUCUCGUCAGCAUAUCGUCGCAAACAGGUGUGUAACUGAUACUCUCUCAUAGACUAGAUUGGCAAAAGCCGAAAAGCCAAAAUGCCAAAAAGUCAGUAUUUUGGGAAUUUGCGAGUGUGCGAAUGCUCGUAAGAUAGUUGGGUUUGUAUAUUUGGUAAUCUAAAGUAAUAAACUACAGUACACGCGAUUUCGUACAUUUUGAUAAUUUGGGCUUAAUGGGCCAAAGAUCGGAUUCAUGGGCCAACGGGCCCAAUUCAGUAAGUAUGUGCGGU